AUACGUAAGUUGCGAGCGUUAUUCGGAAUUACUUGGGUGUAAAGGAAGCGCAGGCGGGAGAUCAAGGCAGCGGUGAAAUGUAUGGGCUUAACCCAUGAACUGCCGUUGAAACUGAUUUUCUUGAGUGAGGUAGAGGUCAGCGGAAUUUCCAGUGUAGCAGUGAAAUGCGCAGAGAUUGGAAAGAACAUCAGUGGCGAAGGCGGCUGACUGGGCCUUAACUGACGCUGAGGCUUGAAAGUGUGGGUAGCAAACAGGAUUAGAUACCCUGGUAGUCCACACCCUAAACGAUGAAUGCUAGGUGUAGGGGGACUGAACCCUUCUGUGCCGGAGUUAACACAUUAAGCAUUCCACCUGGGGAGUACGAUCGCAAGAUUAAAACUCAAAUGAAUUGACGGGG
rnacentral:rRNA from 1 species